UGGGGAAUAUUGGACAAUGGGCGCAAGCCUGAUCCAGCCAUGCCGCGUGAGUGAUGAAGGCCCUAGGGUUGUAAAGCUCUUUCAACGGUGAAGAUAAUGACGGUAACCGUAGAAGAAGCCCCGGCUAACUUCGUGCCAGCAGCCGCGGUAAUACGAAGGGGGCUAGCGUUGUUCGGAAUUACUGGGCGUAAAGCGCACGUAGGCGGAUCGGUCAGUUAGGGGUGAAAUCCCAGGGCUCAACCCUGGAACUGCCUUUAAUACUGCCGAUCUGGAGUCCGGAAGAGGUGAGUGGAAUUCCGAGUGUAGAGGUGAAAUUCGUAGAUAUUCGGAGGAACACCAGUGGCGAAGGCGGCUCACUGGUCCGGUACUGACGCUGAGGUGCGAAAGCGUGGGGAGCAAACA
rnacentral:rRNA from 1 species